GUUCCACUGUAGUCAGAGAAGAUACUUUGUACAUUCCAAUCUUUUUAAAUUUAUUGACUCCUGCUUGCGGCCUUAUAUAUGGUCUAACCUGGCAAAUGCUCCAUGUGCACAAGACAAAAAUGUGAAUUUUGCUCUUGUUGCGUGAAGUGUUCUAUACAAGUGACUCUAGUUGGUUUACGGUAUUGCUCAGGCCCUCUAUUUCCUUCAUGAUCUUCUUUCUGGCUGUUCUAUUCAUUAUUGAAAGUAGAGUAGUGAAUUCUUCAGGUAUUAUUAUAGAACUGUCUAUUUCCCCCUUCACCUUCAAUUCUAUGAAUAUUUGCUUCAUCUAUGUUGGGGCAUCAUGGUUCGGUGCAUAUAUGUUUAUAAUUAUUAUAUUCUCUUGAUGAAUUGACCCUUUUAUCAAUACAUAAUGUCCUUUUUUGUCUCUUGUAACAAUUUUGACCUAAAGUCUAUUUCGUCUGAUAGUAAUACAGUUUCCCUAGCUGUCUUUGGUUGCUACUUGCAUGGAAUAUCUUUUUCUAUUCUUUCAUUUUUGACAUAUUUGAUUCUUCACACCUAAAGGGAUUCUCUUGUAGACAGCCCUCAGUUGUAUUGCAGACGUUUUUAAAUCUAUUUUGCCAUUCUAUGUCUUUUUUUUUUGUCUCUUUAAAGAUUUUAUUUUUCCUUUUUCUUCCCAAACCCCCCGGUACAUAGUUGUGUAUUUUUAGUUGUGGGUCCUUCUAGUUGUGGCAUGUGGGACGUUGUCUCAGCAUGGCCUGAUGAGCAGUGCCAUGUCCAUGCCCAGGAUUCGAACCAGUGAAACCCGAGCCUGCUGAAGUGGAGUGCACAAACUUAACCACUUGGCCACGGGGCCAGCCCCCAUUCUCUGCCUUCUAAUUGGAGAGUUUAACUCAUUUACAUUUAAGUAAUUAGUGAUUAUGAAGGACUUAUUUCUUCUAUUUUGCUAUUUGUUUUCUAUAUGUCAUAUAUAAUUUGUUCUUCAUUUCCUCCAUCACUGCUCACUUUUGUGUUUAAUUGAUUUUUUGGAGUGUAUCAUUUUGAUUCUCUUCUCACUUCCUGUUCUGUGUAUUUUUACAUUAUUUUCAUAGUGGGUUUCCUAGAACUACAAUAAACAUCUUAAACAUAACAAUCUACUGUGAAUUAAUGCAAACUUAACUUCAAUAGGAUAUAAAAACUUUGAUCCUAUAUGACUCCAUCCUUUCCCUUUUAUCUUAUUAUCAUCAAACUUACAUCUUUAUACAUUGUAUGCUUAUUAACAUAGAAUUAUAAUUAUUUCAUGCAUAUUCUUUUAAAUCUUAUAGGAAUAUAAAGAGGAGUCACAAACCGGAAAUGCAAUAAUACUGGCUUUUAUAUUUACCUAUGUGGUUACAUUUACUAGUGUUCUUUAUUUCUUCUUAUGGCUCUGAGAUACCACCUAGUAUACUUUAAUUUCAGCGUAAAAGAAGGCCUUGCUUUGGCAUUUCUUGUUGGCAAGAUCUACUGAAAACAAACUCUCAGCUUUUGCUUAUCUGAGAAUGUCUUAACUUUUCCUUCAUUUUUGAAGGACUGUUAUGCCAGAUCUAGAAUUCUUGGUUGACAUUUUUUUUCUUUCAGCACUUUAAAUACAUCAUCCCACUGCUUUCUGACCUUCUUGGUUUCUAAUGAGAAAUCGGCUCUUAGUCUUACUGAGGAUCUCUGUACAUGACAAAUCACUUCUCUCUCGGUCCUUUCAAGAUUCUCUGUCUGUCUUGGUAUGUGGAGCUCUUUGUGUUUAUUUUACUUGGAGUUUGACAAGCUUCUUAGACAUUUAGAUUGAUGUCUUCCACUAAAUUUGGGAAGUUUUCGGCCAUUAUUUCAUGAUGUAUUCUUUCUGCCUUUUCGCUCUCUCCUCUCCUGCUGGGAUUCUCAUUAUGUGUGUAUUGGUGUGCUUGAUGGUGUCCCACAGUUCUCUUAGUUUCUGUUUUCUUCAUUGAUUUUUCUUUCAGGUUUUCCAACUGGAUAACUGUAAUUGACUUAUCUUCAUGUUCACUAUUUUUCUUCUACUUGCUCAAAUAUGUUUUGGAAGCCCUUUAGUAAUUUUUUUUCCCUUACUGUAUCUUUCAGCUCAACAAUUUCUAUUUAGUUCUUUUUUAUGAUAUCUAUCUCUUUGGUUUUUUCCCCAAGAAUAAUGUUUUAUUUUUUCCAGCUUUAUUAAGAUAUAAUUGACAUAAAACAUUGUGUAAGUUAAAGGUGUACAACAUGAUGAUUUGAUAUACACAUAUUGUGAAAUGUUACCACAAUAAGGUUAGUUAAUACAUUCUUUACCUCACAUAAUUAUCAUUUUGUUGUUGUUAUUGUUAUGGUAUAGCUCUUUAUUGAUAUUCUCUGUUUGGUGAGAUUAUUCAUCUAGUUUCCUUUAGUUCUUUGGCCAUUGUUUCCUUUAGCUCUCGGAACAUAUUUUAAAUAGCUGAUGUAAAGUCUUUUUCUAGUAAGUCCAAUCUCUGGGCUUCCUGAGGUAUAGUUUCUCUUUUUUUCCCCCGUGAAUGGCCGUAUUUUCUUAUUUCCUUAUGUCCCUCAUAAUUUUUGUUGAAAACGACAUUUUCAACAUCAGAAUGUGUUAACUCUGAAAAUCAAAUUCUCCUCCUUUCCCAAGGUUUGUUCUUGCUGCAUGUUGUAGGUUGUAGUUUUUGCUUAGUGCAUUUUCUAAACUGUCUUUGUAAAGACUGUAUUCUUUUUCAUGUCUCAACACUGAAGUUUCUGUUUCACUAGUUUAGUGGUCAUCUAAUGAUUUGAGAC
ensembl:lncRNA